UGAAGAGUUUGAUCAUGGCUCAGAUUGAACGCUGGCGGCAGGCCUAACACAUGCAAGUCGAACGGUAACAGGAAGCAGCUUGCUGCUUCGCUGACGAGUGGCGGACGGGUGAGUAAUGUCUGGGAAACUGCCUGAUGGAGGGGGAUAACUACUGGAAACGGUGGCUAAUACCGCAUAACGUCGCAAGACCAAAGAGGGGGACCUUCGGGCCUCUUGCCAUCAGAUGUGCCCAGAUGGGAUUAGCUUGUUGGUGAGGUAACGGCUCACCAAGGCGACGAUCCCUAGCUGGUCUGAGAGGAUGACCAGCCACACUGGAACUGAGACACGGUCCAGACUCCUACGGGAGGCAGCAGUGGGGAAUAUUGCACAAUGGGCGCAAGCCUGAUGCAGCCAUGCCGCGUGUAUGAAGAAGGCCUUCGGGUUGUAAAGUACUUUCAGCGGGGAGGAAGGUGUUGUGGUUAAUAACCGCAGCAAUUGACGUUACCCGCAGAAGAAGCACCGGCUAACUCCGUGCCAGCAGCCGCGGUAAUACGGAGGGUGCAAGCGUUAAUCGGAAUUACUGGGCGUAAAGCGCACGCAGGCGGUCUGUCAAGUCGGAUGUGAAAUCCCCGGGCUCAACCUGGGAACUGCAUUCGAAACUGGCAGGCUUGAGUCUUGUAGAGGGGGGUAGAAUUCCAGGUGUAGCGGUGAAAUGCGUAGAGAUCUGGAGGAAUACCGGUGGCGAAGGCGGCCCCCUGGACAAAGACUGACGCUCAGGUGCGAAAGCGUGGGGAGCAAACAGGAUUAGAUACCCUGGUAGUCCACGCCGUAAACGAUGUCUACUUGGAGGUUGUGCCCUUGAGGCGUGGCUUCCGGAGCUAACGCGUUAAGUAGACCGCCUGGGGAGUACGGCCGCAAGGUUAAAACUCAAAUGAAUUGACGGGGGCCCGCACAAGCGGUGGAGCAUGUGGUUUAAUUCGAUGCAACGCGAAGAACCUUACCUGGUCUUGACAUCCACAGAAGAAUCCAGAGAUGGAUUGGUGCCUUCGGGAACUGUGAGACAGGUGCUGCAUGGCUGUCGUCAGCUCGUGUUGUGAAAUGUUGGGUUAAGUCCCGCAACGAGCGCAACCCUUAUCCUUUGUUGCCAGCGAUUAGGUCGGGAACUCAAAGGAGACU
rnacentral:rRNA from 1 species